rnacentral:rRNA from 1 species
UACGUAGGGUGCAAGCGUUGUCCGGAAUUAUUGGGCGUAAAGAGCUCGUAGGCGGUUUGUUGCGUCGGCUGUGAAAUCCCGAGGCUCAACCUCGGGUCUGCAGUCGAUACGAGCAAACUAGAGUGUUGCAGGGGAGACUGGAAUUCCUGGUGUAGCGGUGAAAUGCGUAGAUAUCGGGAGGAACAUCAGUGGCGAAGGCGGCCUUCUGGUCCAGUACUGACACUCAAGUGCGAAAGCGUGGGGAGCAAACAGGG